rnacentral:rRNA from 1 species
GAUGAACGCUGGCGGCGUGCCUAAUACAUGCAAGUCGAGCGAACGGACGAGAAGCUUGCUUCUCUGAUGUUAGCGGCGGACGGGUGAGUAACACGUGGAUAACCUACCUAUAAGACUGGGAUAACUUCGGGAAACCGGAGCUAAUACCGGAUGAUAUUUUGAACCGCAUGGUUCAAAAGUGAAAGACGGUCUUGCUGUCACUUAUAGAUGGAUCCGCGCUGCAUUAGCUAGUUGGUAAGGUAAUGGCUUACCAAGGCAACGAUACAUAGCCGACCUGAGAGGGUGAUCGGCCACACUGGAACUGAGACACGGUCCAGACUCCUACGGGAGGCAGCAGUAGGGAAUCUUCCGCAAUGGGCGAAAGCCUGACGGAGCAACGCCGCGUGAGUGAUGAAGGUCUUCGGAUCGUAAAACUCUGUUAUUAGGGAAGAACAUAUGUGUAAGUAACUGUGCACAUCUUGACGGUACCUAAUCAGAAAGCCACGGCUAACUACGUG